rnacentral:rRNA from 1 species
GUCGAAUGCUGGCGGCAUGCCUUACACAUGCAAGUCGAACGGCAGCGGGCCUUCGGGUGCCGGCGAGUGGCGAACGGGUGAGUAAUGCAUCGGAACGUGCCAUUGAGUGGGGAGUAACGUAGCGAAAGUUGCGCUAAUACCGCAUAUUCUGUGAGCAGGUAAGCAGGGACCGCAAGGCCUUGCGCUCUUUGAGCGGCCGAUGUCAGAUUAGCUAGUUGGUGAGGUAAAGGCUUACCAAGGCGACGAUCUGUAGCGGGUCUGAGAGGAUGAUCCGCCACACUGGAACUGAGACACGGUCCAGACUCCUACGGGAGGCAGCAGUGGGGAAUUUUGGACAAUGGGCGCAAGCCUGAUCCAGCCAUGCCGCGUGAGUGAAGAAGGCCUUCGGUUGU